rnacentral:rRNA from 1 species
UACGGGGGGGGGCAAGCGUUGUUCGGAAUUACUGGGCGUAAAGGGCGCGUAGGCGGCCUUCUAAGUCAGACGUGAAAUCCCUCGGCUCAACCGAGGAACUGCGUCUGAUACUGGAAGGCUUGAAUCCGGGAGAGGGAUGUGGAAUUCCAGGUAUAGCGGUGAAAUGCGUAGAUAUCUGGAGGAACACCGGUGGCGAAGGCGGCAUCCUGGACCGGUAUUGACGCUGAGGCGCGAAAGCUAGGGGAGCAAACGGG